rnacentral:rRNA from 1 species
AAUAGAUACCCCGGUAGUCCACGCCGUAAACGAUGAGUGCUAAGUGUUGGGGGGUUUCCGCUCCUCAGUGCUGCAGCUAACGCAUUAAGCACUCCGCCUGGGGAGUACGGUCGCAAGACUGAAACUCAAAGGAAUUGACGGGGGCCCGCACAAGCGGUGGAGCAUGUGGUUUAAUUCGAAGCAACGCGAAGAACCUUACCAGGUCUUGACAUCCCGGUGACCACUAUGGAGACAUAGUUUCCCCCUUCGGGGGCAACGGUGACAGGUGGUGCAUGGUUGUCGUCAGCUCGUGUCGUGAGAUGUUGGGUUAAGUCCCGCAACGAGCGCAACCCUUAUUCUUAGUUGCCAUCAUUCAGUUGGGCACUCUAAGGAGACUGCCGGUGAUAAACCGGAGGAAGGUGGGGAGUGACGUCAAAUCAUCAUGCCCCUUAUGACCUGGGCUACACACGUGCUACAAUGGACGGUACAAACGGUUGCCAACCCGCGAGGGGGAGCUAAUCCGAUAAAACCGUUCUCAGUUCGGAUUGUAGGCUGCAACUCGCCUAC